CGGCCGCAGUACCCUGACUGUGCAAAGGUAGCAUAAUCAAUUGGCUUUUAAUUGGGGUCUUGUAUGAAUGGAUUUACGUAGAAAUUCUGUCCCAGUUAAAUUUUGUAGAAAUUUUUAAAAAGGUGAAAAUCCCUUUAAUCUGUAAAAGACGAGAAGACCCUAAGAAUUUUAAAAAAAUAAGAUCAUCUUUUUUGCUGGGGCGGCAAUGGAUCAAAUAACAUCCAUAUUAUCGGCUAUAUCCAUAUUAUAAAUUACCUUAGGGAUAACAGCGCAAUUGUGACCUCGAUGUUGGACUAGGAUAUUUUAAGGUUAGAGACUUUAAAAUAGGUUCUGUUCGAACCUUUUCUCCUAC
rnacentral:rRNA from 1 species